CCCAGAAGGGCGAAUGUGCGUCAAUCUCAUGGGAGAUCACCAGUGGCGAGACCAGGAAGAGACGAUCGUCACCUGUCUCAAAGCCCACGCUGAUGUCCGUCUGGUCCAACGGGAUGAACUCACCUGAGGACGCGGGGAGUCUCACCCUCCUGAGUCUGCUUGGACUUGAUGAGCUUGGCCCUCAUGUUGGCCCCCACGAUGUGGGAGCUCCGAAGGUCGCCCACCCUGAACAUCAGACAGAGCUUGUCGUCUCUCCGAGAGAUGACGGCGUGUUUGGAGAACACCAGCGUCUCUGCCCGUUUGUUGGGCUGUGAGAUCUUCACAAACAUGCAGCCAACCUGGACAGAAAGGUGGAACGAGAGCUUUAAAGGUUAAGUGAAACAGACUCGAAGACACGCAGAGCAGGCGCAAAAGGUUCACGCAUUUGCAAUAACUGGAAAACCAAUGAUUACUGAAAAAUCAAUGACUUCUCUUGUUUUUCACGAUGAACAUAGAAUGUACAGCUGUAAACAUUCUUUGUGAGUGCUGAAUACAAACAGAGCUUGUUCAUUUUGUCAGUAGACAUUUUUGUUUUCCAGUUUUCAGUGAUUAAAAACACAAUCCUGCUUGGAAGUCAGCGUGUCGAUUUGUCUUCGCCAACAAGUGCUCACUUGGUUUAUCAGCACUUUGAAAGAAGAUAUUCUUUUCCUGGAGGCAUUCGUCUGUAUAGCAAUAAAAAUUUGUAUACUGGUUUUUCUGCCUGUGAUUCAGCUGAACGGAGGGAUCAAACUGGCUCAGGUCAAACAAUAAUUACAAUCUCGUUCCAGCCCUGAUGCUCACCAUGAAGGCGUUGACCAUUGAGCCCAGUAUAGCCUGCAGCAGCAGCAGCAUCGUGCCCACUGGACACUGGUCGGUGAUGACGCGGUGGCCGUAGCCAAU